rnacentral:rRNA from 1 species
UACGGGGGGGGCAAGCGUUGUUCGGAAUUACUGGGCGUAAAGGGCUCGUAGGUGGCUAACUAAGUCAGACGUGAAAUCCCUCAGCUUAACUGGGGAACUGCGUCUGAUACUGGAUGGCUUGAGUUUGGGAGAGGGAUGCGGAAUUCCAGGUGUAGCGGUGAAAUGCGUAGAUAUCUGGAGGAACACCGGUGGCGAAGGCGGCAUCCUGGACCAAUACUGACACUGAGGAGCGAAAGCCAGGGGAGCAAACGGG